ensembl:lncRNA
AUGUCACAAACAAGCGUAAGUGCUACACAGGCAACUAAAGAAGCCAAGCAUGGAGACCCACAAGAAGAUGGUGAACAUACCCCAGCUCAAGCUGACUCUGGUGAGCAAGCUGAAGCGACAGCACAAGACGCACAAUCCCAGGUUGGUGCAUAUAUCACACAACAGCCUCCAGACAUGAGAAGAAGCGAACGUCCACGAACGCUAACUGAAAAAGGAAAGGCUCAGCUGGAUGAAAGGUUGUGUGAACUGAACACACAUUUUGUGAAGCUAUAUGGAAAGUGGAAAUAUCACAUUAAUGGCUUAAGACGAACCAUUAGGGAAAAUGAUGCUGUGGAUCUGAUUGAGGAUGUUGCAAGCACAAUCAACUCUAUCCAAGAUCAGAUUGACGAAACUUACCUCAAAAUAAGAGAUAUUGCUACUCCUGAACCUGAAAUCCGGAGAAUAAAUGACACAUGUAAUGCACUCACUGUGACUGCAAAUAAAAGGGCUCAACAAUACCUCAGUGGUAAUGAAGAUUCAGAAGUUGUACCCUGGCCUGAAGCUGAGUCAGUGUUUGACAACACAGUAUCCAGUGCAAGCUCGCUUAAACCCAGCUGUAAGUCAAACACCUCUUCCAGUCUGUCACGGUACAAUAAACUACAAGCAGCGGCCGAAGUUGCAGCUACACAAGAAGUUCUCAAAAUAAUGAAAGAACAACAUCAACGAGAAGAAGAGAUUCGGAAACUUGAGGUGGAGGAACAAAUGUUAACGGCUAAAAGAGAAGCUGAAGAAAAGGAAAUUGAAGCGGAGAAUACUGGAAAACGAACUCAGUUUAUUUCAGAAAGCGCUGCUAGAAAAACGGAGCUGGAAAAGAAAAGGCGAGAAGUGGAACGGUUGGAGGAAAUAAUAAAGCACAAUGCAGCACAAGCCAGGCUGAAUAUUUUCUCAGAAGAUCAUUAUGACGAGAUAGCGCACCAGUCAGCCAUUUUGACUGAACAGAGUCGAGACAUCUAUCCAUCCUCACUAAAGGUUCCAGUUUCCCUCUACCAACCAUCCGCUCUCAACCCUGUAAGCAACCCCUUAUAUCCUGCUCAACAAGCACCACCUCCCCAAGCUAGCCCUGCUCAGCAAACCAUACCUGAUCCAUCUUAUCAUCCACACCUAGCUGCCAUCACUAAGACCUCUCCCCCACAUCCCUCAAUGUUCACAUCCAAAUACACACCUCAACCAGCCAGUUUCCCUCAAUCUCCAAUGGUUCAGCAAGCCAUCCCCAAUCAACCUCUUACCAUUCAACAAGUCCCAUUUACCAAGGUUCCCACUACUCACUCACCCACAUUCACCACCUCUCAUGAAGCCUCCAAUGAUCUUGUGAGAACACUCGCUGAAGCGAUUACAGCCAAUCGUAUCCCAAUCCCAGAACCGGCUGUCUUCGUAGGAGAUCCUCUCAAGUAUAAUGAUUGGAAGCUUUCAUUCUGUACUCUGAUUGAUCGGAAGAACCUGCCAACUCAAGAAAAACUCUUCUUUUUGCGCAAGUACGUGGGUGGCCCAGCCAAAAGAGCUAUUGAAGGACAUUUCCUAGUAGCAACAGAAACGGCUUACAAAACCGCCUGGGACAAACUUGAGGACAGAUACGGCAAUCAGUUUGUUAUUGGUAAGGCAUACCGCGACAAGAUACACGCAUGGCAUAAAAUCGGCCACAAGGACAGCGAAGAUCUUCGUGAGUUUUCGGAUUUUCUAAGCAGUGUCGAAUCAGCCAUGCCUUAUGUUCAAGGUUUACAAGCUCUUAACGACUGUGUGGAAAACCAAAAAAUAGCUGCCAAAUUACCUGAUUGGUUAGGUGCAAAUUGGAACAGAAAAGUCACUAUGCACCAAGAUGAACACAAACUGUUCCCUGAUUUCAGUUGCUUCGUGCAGUUUCUCAACCUUGAGGCUCGAAUUGCAUGCAAUCCAGUCACAUCCUUUUCAGCAAUGCAGCUAAUAGCACAAGAAGCUAAGCAAAAGGAAAGGGAAUAUCCACAAAGUCAGAAACCCAGUGCUAGGGCUUUCACCACUAGCUCAAGUGAGAAGACGAGCAUCAUGUGCAUUUUCUGUAAGAGGCAAGGUCAUACUCUCCAUACAUGUUUCAAAAUGAUGGAAAGGACAGUUGAAGAAAGGGUUAAAUUUGUACAACUGGAGAAGUUGUGUUUCGGCUGUCUGAAGACUGGCCACAACUCCAAAUACUGUACAUCUAGGAGCAUAUGUGACUCAUGUGGACGAAACCACCCUACAUGCUUGCAUCAGGAUCGAUGGGUGUAUAACCAAGGAGAAAGAAGAGAAACCGAACGUGGACAAACUAACGAAACCAAGGAAGCUAAAAUUAAGGGGUCCACACCGUCACGUACCCAAGAGUCAAUGCAAGCUACCUCCAACAGAGUCGUUCAAGAGAGAGGUACCACUCAUACAUCUACUGUUGUCCCGGUUUAUGUCUCCACAUCAGCUGAACCAGACAAAGAAGUUCUAGUGUAUGCCUUGCUCGACACUCAGAGUGACACCACCUUCAUAUUAAAGGAUACAGUCGAGGCAUUGAAUGUCAAGAAGGAGCCUGUGAGACUGACAGUGUCAACAAUAACAUCAAUCAAAAAGGUUGUGUCCAGCCAAAGGGUGAGCGGUCUACGAGUAAGAGGCAUUAACUCUGAAAAUAUAAUCAACCUCCCAACAACUUAUACCAGGGAUUAUCUACCAGCAAAUAGAUCUCAUAUACCCACGAGUACAACUGCAAAGUUAUGGACUCACUUAGAACAUCUAGAGCAUGAAAUGUCUCCAGAGCUUGACUGUGAAGUAGGAUUGUUGAUAGGCUAUAACUGCCCCCAAGCCCUUCUUCCCAGAGACGUCAUUAGUGGCAGUGAGGACCAGCCAUACGCGCUCAAGUCUGCGUUGGGUUGGAGCAUCGUUGGCUGCAGCAAUGCUGGCCUUGAACAUGAUGAUGAAAUAGGCAUGAGUCACCGUAUCAUCACAAAGCAAGUCAUACCAGCAAUCAAGUCUUCCGUUGAACUCAAAUCAGAAGUCCAUUUUGUUUGCAGGACCCAAGUCAGAGAAAUGAUGACUCCAGCAGACAUAAUCAAAGUCUUCGAGUCAGAUUUCACUGAGAGGACCAGUGAAGAAGUUUCAAUGUCACAAGAAGACAUCAACUUUUUGGCAAAGAUUAAAGAGGGCAUCAAGCAAAAGCCUAAUGGACACUACGAAAUGCCAUUGCCUUUCAAGGAAGAAAGGCCAAGUCUGCCAAACAACAAAGCGUACGCAGAAAAUCGGCUUAAAUGCCUGGAGAAACGUUUGACAAAGGACGAACAAUACCACAAUGAUUAUGUGGCUUAUAUGGAGGACAUGAUCGCAAGAGAUGAUGCUGAAAAGGUUCCAGAGAUGGAUAUGUGCAAUCGGACAGUAUGGUAUAUCCCUCACCAUGGAGUUUAUCAUCCCCAAAAGCCGGGAAAGAUUUGCGUCGUCUUUGAUUGUUCAACAAAAUAUCGGAACACAUCACUGAACGAACAUCUACUCACUGGGCCAGACCUUACCAAUGCCCUCGUAGGGGUCUUGUGUCGUUUCCGUAAGGGGCAAGUAGCCAUCAUGUGUGAUGUGGAGCGUAUGUUCCAUCAGUUUCAUGUUGCACCAAGGGACCAAGACUACCUCAGAUUCCUGUGGUGGGAAGGAGGUAAUCUGGAAGCUCCCCCAUCAGUGUAUCGCAUGAAGGUUCACAUAUUUGGUGCUGCCUCAUCGCCAGGAUGUGCAAACUUCGGGCUUAAGCACCUCGCUGCACAAGGAGCAGGCAAAUUUAGCGAAGCCACCUUGAGAUUUAUCCAACGCAACUUUUACGUUGAUGAUGGACUGGCAAGUGUCGACAAUGAAGCAGAAGCCAUCCAGCUAGUCAAAGAAGCAAGAGAUCUCUGCUGCACUGGUAUGCUCCGCUUACACAAAUUCCUUACCAAUAGCAAGGAGGUGCUGGCCACGAUCCCAAAGAAAGAAUGCGCAGAUGGUGCUACCGACCUGGACUUGGCCCUCGGAGAACCCAAGAUAGAAAGGGCUCUUGGGGUCCAGUGGUGCCUUAGCUCAGAUAAGUUCCAGUUCAGAGUCGAGGUAAAGGAAAAUCCCUUUACCAGAAGAGGAGUAUUGUCAACAGUGGCCUCAAUUUUUGAUCCUCUUGGAUUUGUUGCACCCUUCAUUUUGAUCGGGAAGCAGAUCCUGCAAAGGAUGUGUCGGGAGAAGAUGGACUGGGAUGAACCACUUCCUGAUGACCUCAAGCUGCGUUGGGAAGCUUGGUUACAAGAUCUACACAAUCUGUCUUCAGUUGAGAUACCACGAUGCUAUGUACCCUCGACUAUCAAGGAAGUUCAGCAGUACGAAUUACACCAUUUUAGCGACGCUAGUGCGUCUGGGUACGGAACAUGUUCUUACCUCAGAGCUGUUAACAAGUCUGGAGAACCACAUUGUGCUCUUGUUAUGGGGAAAGCAAGAGUUGCGCCAACAAAGGUAACAACAAUCCCAAGACUGGAACUCUCAGCUGCUGUAGUCGCCACAAGAACAAGCGAUAUGCUUAUGCGUGAACUAGAACUGGAAGGCCUAUGUGAAUACUUUUGGACUGAUUCCAAGGUUGUUCUUGGCUACAUUAAUAAUGACGUAAGGCGGUUCCACGUAUUUGUAGCCAACCGCGUUCAGCGGAUUAAAUCCAGCACAGAGCCAAGUCAGUGGCAUUAUGUUGCGUCAAAGGAGAACCCAGCUGACCAUGCCUCUCGUGGGCGCACUGUAAAGGAGCUUGUAGAGUCCAACUGGUUUACAGGACCGAGUUUCCUGUGGCAAAGAGAACUCCCUCAGGAAGAAGAAAUUAAGGUGGGAAAGCUUGAUGACGAGGUCCCAGAACUCAAAGGAGCACAGGUUCACACUACUGAAGCACAGGAGGAAAGGUCACUGUCAGAUCGUUUACAGAAGUUUUCAGACUUAAGGACAGCGGUAAGAGCCAUAGCAAGACUUAAGCGGUGUGCAAAGGAGAUAAAGGGUCCAAAGACAGGAUCUGAUAAAGUUACUACACUCGAAGAAAGACAGGAAGCUGAACAAUUCAUAAUCCAUGCAGUUCAAGGAGAAGUGUUCAGUGAAGAAAUAAAAUCUCUGAAGCAAAGCAAAGAGCUGCCUGAGAAUAACUCAACUAAGCUGCACAAGUUAAGUCCAUUCAUCGAUAGUCACGAUAUCCUGAGGGUGGGAGGGAGAUUGACAGAAGCAGCACUUCAUCCCCACGUGAAACACCCAGCUAUCCUUCCAAAAGGGCAUCAUGUGUCUCGCCUAUUAAUUAAGCACUUCCACGAGAAGGUGCUACAUCAAGGUCGUGGAAUGACCAUCAAUGAACUACGCUCCAACGGAAUUUGGAUUCUUGGUUGUAGCAGUGAAGUGUCAUCCUUUAUCUUCCGAUGCGUUAAGUGCAGGAAGUUUAGAAAGUGUACUCAAGAACAAAAAAUGUCCGACCUUCCACUAGAGAGGAUGGAAGCCACCCCUCCUUUUACAUACUGUGGUAUGGACUGUUUCGGACCAUUUUAUGUGAAGGAUGGCAGGAAAGAGCUCAAGAGAUAUGGGGUCCUAUUUACCUGCAUGUGCUCAAGAGCUAUCCACAUCGAGAUGUUGGAUGACCUUACCUCUGAUGCCUUCCUCAACGCACUGCGUUGCUUUAUUGCUUUAAGAGGCAACGUAAGUCAGCUUCAAAGUGACCAAGGCACGAAUUUCGUGGGUGCACGAAAUGAAUUCAAGGAACUUAUGAAAGAAAUCGAGCAAGAACGUGUCAAAGAACUGGGAUGCAGCUUUGUCAUGAACCCACCUGCUUCCAGUCACAUGGGUGGUGUCUGGGAGAGGCAGAUACGAACGGUCCGAAGUGUCCUUACAUCCAUCCUAGACCAAUCUGCAAGAAGACUAGACAGUUCUUCACUGAGAACCUUCCUAUAUGAAGUAAUGGCUAUAGUGAAUAGUCGACCGUUGACCACAGAGUAUCUCAACGAUCCAUCAGGACCAGAACCUUUGACGCCAAAUCAUAUUCUGACAAUGAAAUCGUCAAUCAUUGAACCGCCACCUGGAGAGUUCGUAAGAGAAGAUCUCUAUCUGCAGAAGAGGUGGAAGAGAGUUCAGUUCUUGUCAAAUGAGUUCUGGGACAGGUGGAGAAAGGAGUAUUUGCUAAGUCUGCAACAGAGAAGUAAAUGGAACAAGGACAGGAGAAAUGCUAAAGUUAAUGACAUAGUCCUGUUGCAAGACGAUGCCACAUCCAGAAAUCAGUGGAAGAUGGCAAAGGUUACCGAAGUCUUCCCAGGAGUUGAUGGGAAAGUCAGAAAGCUCAAACUACUGCUUAGUGACACAACACGAGACAGUAAAGGCACAUACACAACUAGACCAUUUUAUUUGGAAAGGUCCAUACAUAAAACUGUACUUUUGCUUGAAGCUGAGUAA